rnacentral:rRNA from 1 species
CCUACGGGAGGCAGCAGUAGGGAAUAUUGCUCAAUGGGGGAAACCCUGAAGCAGCAACGCCGCGUGGAGGAUGAAGGUUUUCGGAUUGUAAACUUCUAUCGUCAGAGAAGAAAAUCACGGUAUCUAAUGAAUAAGCAGCGGCUACCUCCGUGACAGCAGCCGCGGUCAUACGGAGGGUGCAAGCGUUACUCGGAAUCACUGGGCGUAACGAGCGCGUAGGCGGGAUAGCAAGUCAGAUGUGAAAUCCUAUGGCUUAACCAUAGAACUGCAUUUGAAAAUGUUAUUCUGGAGUGUGGGAGAGGUAGGUGGAAUUCUUGGUGUAGGGGUGAAAUCCGUAGAGAUCAGGAGGAAUACUCAUUGCGAAGGCGACCUGCUAGAACGUAACUGACGCUGAUGCGCGAAAGCGUGGGGAGCAAACAGGAUUAGAUACCCUUGUAGUC